CGCAGCCGCCGAGCAUAUCACUCGCCUCCUCGCCCGUCUCCUCUCGCUCUCGCCCACGCGCACCCGAUUCCCCCGCUUGCCUUUCCCCACCUGUCGCGGCGCUCGCCAGUCUAGGGUUUCGCCCCCCUUCGCCCGCCGAUCCGCCCCCGCCGGCCAUGUCGAAGCAAGGAGGGAAGGCCAAGCCGCUGAAGGCGCCCAAGGUCGACAAGAAGGAGUACGACGAGAGUGAUCUUGCUUAUUUGCAGAAGAAGAAAGAUGAGGAAAAGGCACUGAAGGAGCUGAAGGCCAAGGCACAGAAGGGCGCAAUUGGAGGCUCGGGUCUCAAGAAAAGUGGAAAGAAAUGAGCCUGGUCACCUGUCUCUAAUACUUAGAGAAUGAUAAGGUGGCUGCUUAUCUGUGUUGCGCUUCACUAUAUGUGAUUGUAACCGUGCUACCUAUUGUGUUCUGUGUUUUGCAAAUUGCAAUGUUGCAGUUGGUUGCUUGAUCCGAAAAUGUUUCAGCCUCGCAUCUGCUAUCUAUGAAACUGAUGGUUCCCUGAUAAUAAUGAUGACAUUAUGUGAUGGAUGCCACAA